rnacentral:rRNA from 1 species
UACGGAGGGUGCAAGCGUUAUCCGGAUUCACUGGGUUUAAAGGGAGCGCAGGCGGAUUGGUAAGUCAGUGGUGAAAGGCUUAAGCUUAACUUGGGAACUGCCAUUGAUACUAUCAGUCUUGAAUGUUGUUGAGGUUUGCGGAAUGGGUCAUGUAGCGGUGAAAUGCAUAGAUAUGACCCGGAACACCUAUUGCGAAGGCAGCAGGCUAAACAAAUAUUGACGCUGAGGCUCGAAAGCGUGGGGAUCAAACAGG